rnacentral:tRNA from 1 species
UCCCAUAUGGUCUAGCGGUCCGGAUUCCUGGUUUCCCCCCAUCCGCCCCGGGUUCAACUCCCAGUAUGGGAA